CGGAGCUGCAGCCAGCCGGGAGGGAAGCUGUGAAGGUGGAAUCCGACUGAGCAGCAUUGCGCUGUGACUGGCGCCUGUUUCUCGGAGCAAAACACGCCCGACAUUCCCUCACAGAGACACCGGGGGCUUUAUUUUGGAUUUCAUAAUCACUGGGAAUACCCUCGCUUAUUUUUCUCUCCUCAUACUACAUUUUGAACUAUUCUUUCUGGCUGUGUGCACCUUCUCGGAAAUUGACUGGAAGCAGUGUUGCGGAGAGCGAGGAGCAUCAUUGACGUUUGCUGGAUAUUUCUUCAUAAUUAGGCUCCACAAUUUGCGAGGGGCGAAGAGCUCCGUGAAGAUUGCCUCUUGCUUCAUGGGAUUACUAUCGACGAAGCCGCUUUGCUUUAGAUAAAAACACAUUUGGCAUCAUGAGUUCCAGUGCUUAUCACCAAGGCUCGACGGGCGGUGAGCGGAGCUCUGGACCGAUCCGGUGCCAGCGAUGUCGGGAGGUAUGCAAAGGAGAGGUGGUACGAGUACAAGAGACCCACUUUCACGUCAAGUGUUUCACCUGCACCGUGUGUAACUGUGAUCUUGCGCGAUCCGGCUUCUUCCAGAAGAAGGGCGAGUACAUCUGUACAGCAGACUAUCAGCGUCUGUAUGGUACACGCUGCGACCGCUGUAACAGCUUCAUCACAGGAGAGGUGGUCUCCGCUCUGGGACGCACGUACCACCCCAAGUGCUUUGUCUGCAGUGUUUGCAGUAAACCUUUCCCCAUCGGAGACAGAGUGACGUUCAGUGGAAAAGACUGUGUGUGCCAGCAGUGCUCGCACACACUCGUCAAGUCAAAUGAACCGAUCAAGAUCCACGGGCCCAGCCACUGUGCUGGAUGUGGAGCCGAGAUCAAGCAGGGUCAGUCUCUCUUGGCGUUGGAGAAACAGUGGCACGUCAGCUGCUUCAGAUGUCGGACCUGCAGCAUGGUCCUCACUGGAGAAUACAUCAGCAAGGAUGGAGUGCCAUACUGUGAGGCAGAUUACCACGCCCAGUACGGGGUGAAAUGUGAGACCUGCAGCAGAUACAUCAGUGGAAGGGUUCUGGAGGCGGGAGGGAAACACUACCAUCCGACCUGCGCCCGCUGUGCUCGCUGCAACAUGAUGUUCAAAGAGGGAGAGGAAAUGUACCUGACAGGAUGUGAGGUGUGGCACCCAUUAUGCAAGCAGGCAGCGAGGGCAGAGAGGAGACUCAGGCACAGACGCCUGUCAGAGACCUCUAUCUCCCCACCAGGCUCCUCAGUGGGCUCUCCUAGCAGGGUUAUAUGUGCCAGAGUGGAGAAUGAGAUCCUAGAUUAUAAGGACCUAGCUGCCCUGCCAAAGGUCAAGGCCAUAUAUGAGGUCCAACAGCCAGACCUCUCAUCCUCCUCAUACCAGCCCUACCACAGAUACACCUCUGAUGACAGGCUAGACACUUACAGCUAUGGGGAGGACUACGACAGCCUGGAUGUGAAGCAGAGGGGGUGCUCCAGUCCAGGUUAUAUAGACUCGCCAACGUAUAGUCGUCAAGGCAUGUCACCCAUCAUGCCUCGCUCUCCGCAGCACUAUGGCUACCCUGGCUCUGAGAGUGGCAGGAGCUCACCUUAUUACGGCCAAGAGGGGCGGUCAAGCACACCCACCACAAACCAGCCCCCUAAACAUUUUCAUGUACCAGACAAUCAUGUGGAUGCAGCCACCAAAAGCAGGACCAGUGAGGACAUCCUCAGAUCCUCCAGACUGUCCACCUACUCUCCUGAGCCAUACACCCAGUCAGAGUCGGAUUACUACCCAUACACCAGUUCCCCCAAAGCCUAUCGGGCGCCGAGAAGACGCUUCUCGACAGGAGGAGAUGAAGAGAGUUGGAGUCAGAGUCUUCAAAGAAUCGGGAGUGGUAUCGGGAGGAUGAUCCUAAAGGAGGAGAUGAAAGCUAGAUCUGGUUCCUAUGACAACGACCCCUGGGGUAGUGCGAGGAAUUCUCGUUGUGGGAGCAAGGAAACACUCAACACUACAGGCUACGGCACCACGGCGUACAACAACACUGUCAACGGCUCUUCCCGAUCUCAGUACAGCAGCGUUAGUGAUUUUGUUUGUAAGUCCUCCUCACUACCUGGAUAUGGACGCAACGGCAUCCAGAGGCCUCAGAGUGCAGACUGCUACCAGUACCAGUACCACAGUGGCAGUGAGGUCAACUGGGGAAGCAGAGCAGAGUACAAGAUUUACCCCAUGAAGCACUGAUUGUCACCACCAGAGGGCGCAACAGGCUGCCCAAAGAUGUAGACAGAGCCAGACUGGAGCGUCACCUGUCCCCAGAGGAGUUUGUCCAAGUGUUUGGUGUGACAGUGGAGGAUUUUGACCGGCCGGCUCUGUGGAAGAGGAAUGAGCUAAAGAAACAGGCCCGACUCUUUUAGUAUUGUAUGGACAUCCGUGACUGUAGGAAGCAAAGAGAAAGGUAGGAAGACUUCCACUCAGUUUCACUGCCGUGGCCGAGAACCCGUUCUAGAUCUCCUCAUACGACCAAUCAAAUUCCGGUCACACCAGCGGGGACUUCUGGGAAGCCGAGGGGGAGGCCGCAGACACGUUACGCACAGAUGGACUGACAAACUGUUACACGGUUGCCGGUGCAACUGUGGCCGUGUGCUGGAGUGGAGUGUAUGUGACAGAGACUGUAGUACACUAGUGUUGUGCUUUUCUUAAGCCUGAAGGACGGAGGAAGGCAUGACUGUGCCCGUAUAGGACCACACGAGGGGAUGUCUGUGACCAGAGCCGCAGUACUACAACACAUUGAGGAGAAUUUUGGCUUUGCCUUAUUUGUGAUGCUCUCUUAGUUAUGAGUGUGCAGCACCAGCAAUCUGAAUGAGUAGAAUGUAGAUACAGUAUAUCAUUUAUGACACUUUAUCAGUGUGAACGAUGACCUGAGAAGAAGGAGUGUGUGAGCAUACAGCAUCGCUUUGCUUUGGAUUCAAAGGGGGCAUUUUGUUCACCUAUUCCCCUGUAUUUGCGCUUUCACAUUGAAUACCGUGUCCCUCUGGUUUACACUAAUUGAUACAGAAACAAACACAAGGCGAUCUGAGGUGGACACAACUUUUUCAAAUGUACGUGUGACCUGCAUAGAUUUGUGUGAAAAUGAAAACCAAAGUGAGAAUGCAAAUAUACAGAUGAGCAGAUCGGUUCCAUGUAAUGUUCUGGUUCAAUAGCUGAGGGUCAUCAAUAGAUACAGUCUACUGUGCGGCUGUAUGGUAACCUAAAAGAAUGUGAAAUCCAGUAGAUUUGAUAGAUAAAGGAAACACCAAUUCAGUUCUCCUGUUCCACGUUUUCCAGCUCAUUGCAAUAGAAUAAUGACUAAAUGUUUGAGGAUGAGGACCGUAGUUGUCCAUACACUUACAUUCACUGUUAUUAUAUUCUUUUAGAACGAAACUCUAAUCAUUUUGUAGCGACAGAGAUUAUAUUCACACACAACGAAAUGCUUUGCAAGGUAUUUGCCACACUGACAAAGAUCCAGGGUUGUUGAAGACUCUACUUCCUUUGAAUAC